AUGCUGGCAGCAGAUCAGGGCAGGCCAGACCCCGCCAAGCCCAGGGGGACGUGCCCGCGGGGCUGCAGCAAGUGCCUGAGGCCGGCAGCCCCCAGACAGCCCACGCCAGCGGUGGGACCCUGGGCAGGCACCCACAGAGCGCUGCCGGGACACGGGCACCGGCCAGGGCACGGUGACAAAGCCGUGCACGCGACAGGCUGCAGGGUGCCCAGGAACUGCAGCACGCGGUCUCCAGCCCGUCCCAGGCCAAGGCUGCGGAGCAGAGGGCUGGGGGCAGCGCUGUGGGACAGCGGCCGAGCCCGCCCGCGCUGCGGGAGCACCCGGCGCCGUGCCAGGAGCUGCCAGGCUCUGCAGCUACGCAUUGGGAAUACUGAUGAGGCUGAGCCCGCAUCGCAGCCCACGGGGGCUGUGGGGCGUGCGGCACCACGGCCCCCGCAGCCCCGCGGCACAGCCCGCCCGGCCGCACGCAGCCCCACGCACGUCACAGCAGCCGGCAGCCGGCACACGGGGCUGGGGGGGCCAGGCCCUGCCUGCUCACCCCGCAGGGCUGGAGCAGAUCCGUCCUCUGCCCCAGGGGUGGGGGGCAGAAAGCGGCUGUCACGUUUCUCCCCAAAGCCUGGGGACACCCACAGCUCCGACCCGGCCGCAGCGGGGGCUCUGGGGGACCGGCUCGUGCACCCGGCACAGCCAGAGACAGCAGAUCGCACCAGCCUGGCCAGCCCUGCCCGGCCACCGCCGCCUAUCCACAGACAGCCCUCCUCCAUCUGCAGAACACCCACCCUGCAGGCUCCCGGGGUCUCAGACCUGGAGAAACCGCUCAUUCCUCCAAGCCUGAGCUCCCGCUCUGUGUCACAAAGCCCCCGCUUGCUGCCCUCGCUGCUGGCUGCGGCACAAGCGCAGGGGAGCGCCCCUCGCCCCGACCACCCGCGCCGCACCGCCACAGCCCCACACCGCCGGUCUGACCCCGCUGCCUGGCUGCUGACAGCCUCUCCGAGGGAGCGGCGCUCAGACCAGCCUCUGGGCCACAGCCUCCGUGGGGCGGGAGGAAGGAGAGAAGCGCUGCACCCCGGCCACCGAGCGGUUAGCAGCAGCCAGGAAGGAAGCAGAGCACGGAGCUGGAGCCGACUGCAGCUCCCUGCCUCCUCCCACACGCGCCCGCCCGCACGCCCGCGGCCGUCCUGCUGCAAACCUCCGCGGCUGACGAGGAAAUUGCCGCUCUCUCCCCCAGGGACGUGCGGUGCUGAGGCGAGCCACCUCCGUCCGCGCGCCGCGAGGCCGCGCCGGCGUCACCCGCCGCCCUCGGAGAGAAACCCCCAGCCCCACGCAGCCCCUGCCCACUCAGCGGCACUGAGCCCCGGUGCCGCCGCCACGCGGGGGAUGCCGAGGCCGAGCUUCCCGGGGCGGCCUGGCCGAGCUCACCUGGGGAUGGCACCCCCGGGCACGGCGGGGGAGCGAGCCGCCAUCGCUUCUGCUCCUCGAUGCCCUGCCCGGCCCUGCUGGCGCGGGCCGGUAGCGGCAGUGCGCGGCCGGCCGGCACCAGGCGGGGGGCAGACGGCACCACGCCGAGGGCCGCACGCCGGGCAGCUCCCCAGGCGUGCACAGCCCGACACGCUCCUCGCCCGCCCCGCAGGAGAUGCUCCAGCGAUGGCUGCAGGCAAGAGCAGGCGCGAUGCGAUGAGGCCAGACGUUGUGAAAUCUCCUCGGCGUUUUGAAAUCCAAAGAGAGGAGCCGAUGUGA
rnacentral:lncRNA from 1 species